rnacentral:rRNA from 1 species
GUGGGGAAUUUUGGACAAUGGGCGAAAGCCUGAUCCAGCCAUGCCGCGUGCAGGAUGAAGGCCUUCGGGUUGUAAACUGCUUUUGUACGGAACGAAAAGACUCUGGUUAAUACCUGGGGUCCAUGACGGUACCGUAAGAAUAAGCACCGGCUAACUACGUGCCAGCAGCCGCGGUAAUACGUAGGGUGCAAGCGUUAAUCGGAAUUACUGGGCGUAAAGCGUGCGCAGGCGGUUAUAUAAGACAGAUGUGAAAUCCCCGGGCUCAACCUGGGAACUGCAUUUGUGACUGUAUAGCUAGAGUACGGCAGAGGGGGAUGGAAUUCCGCGUGUAGCAGUGAAAUGCGUAGAUAUGCGGAGGAACACCGAUGGCGAAGGCAAUCCCCUGGGCCUGUACUGACGCUCAUGCACGAAAGCGUGGGGAGCAAACAGGAUUAGAAACCCUUGUAGUCC